GAUAGCUUAGCUGGUAGAGCGAUGCCACUCGUCCAAGCAGGGCCUAGGCGGCAUAAACGCUGGUUCGAACCCAGCUC
rnacentral:tRNA from 1 species